rnacentral:rRNA from 1 species
UACGAAGGGGGCUAGCGUUGCUCGGAAUCACUGGGCGUAAAGGGUGCGUAGGCGGGUUUUUAAGUCAGGGGUGAAAUCCUGGAGCUCAACUCCAGAACUGCCUUUGAUACUGAAGAUCUUGAGUCCGGGAGAGGUGAGUGGAACUGCGAGUGUAGAGGUGAAAUUCAUAGAUAUUCGCAAGAACACCAGUGGCGAAGGCGGCUCACUGGCCCGGUACUGACGCUGAGGUGCGAAAGCGUGGGGAGCAAACAGG